CUAAAAUUGACGGUUACACCUAAAAAAAAAUAAAAAAAAAGUAGGGGCUUGAACGUAAACGACCAGUAAUGCAACCUAAAAAAAUACAACAAGCGUCAGCUGAACUCCGAAGGAGAGGGAGAGGGAAACGUGUCUCCGGCCCGCAGCGCUACAAUAUAAAGGAGAAAAAGCCGUAAACUAGAAGGGAAACUGAAAUCCCAGAACCCACUGAAUUCAUACCACUUCCGAUCCUAACAUCUUUCCUAUUUCAAAUUUCUUCUGCUUUUUCACCUGUCUUUUUCUUCAUUUUCACCCGUCGUUUUUUUCCAAUUUUUCCACUUUCACACUUGCCAAACCCUGAUCGAUCAAUCGUCAAUCUUCAUACAAACACAUCUCGAUUCCAACUCCGAUUCCCCAAAAAUCUCCCAAAAUUAACUAGCCAUGUUCAUUUCGUCAAAUUUUGCUCCGGCAGAUGAGGAAACCGUCGUCUUCGAGGCGUUCACUUUGUGACAGAUUUUGAUUUUUAUAUUUUGGUACUUGAAUGGGCGACCUUCGAGCUUGGUCACCUGAGUUAAACGGCGCGGUUUUAGAGGAAAGGCCGUUGUCGUCGUCUUUGUCUUUGGCAAACCAAGCCGGUGUUAGUGCCGAGUCCUGGGAAAGAGCCGAAGCCGUAACGCAGGGGAUCAUAGCCCAGGUGCAACCCACCCUUGUCUCGGAGGAGAGGAGGAAAGCGGUUAUUGAUUAUGUGCAGAGGCUAAUUAGGAAUUCUGUUGGUUGUGAGGUAUUCCCAUUUGGGUCGGUUCCACUGAAAACCUAUCUUCCUGAUGGAGAUAUUGACUUGACAGCUUUUGGUGGUAUGAAUAUUGAGGAAGCACUGGCCAAUGAUGUCUGCUCUGUCCUUGAAAGGGAAGAUCAGAACAGGACUGCUGAGUUUGUUGUGAAGGAUGUUCAGUUAAUCAGGGCAGAGGUUUUUAUCUUGAGCCAAAUUUACUGAUGAUCCUUGCUUGGCUCAAACUAAGAUUGUAUAUGCAUGCAUUUUUUCUAUUCUUCACUGGCUCAUUGUCUUUGUAAGACAACUGCAUAACACAUUUAUUUUUAGAGAUGGCUUGUUAGAUAUUAUCUAACUGAUUUUAUAUCAGUCUCUAUGUCAAAUUUGAUCAACCUACAGCUGGGCCCAGCUCUAUCAUCCCAGACCCUAAUAGUUAACUUGUUUAAAUGAGUAAGGUUGCAUAAUAUUUUUAUCGAAAAAAGGAUAUUAUGGUAUUUGCUGCUCGUAAUGUCUUUCAAUGUUGGAUUUUCAAGAUAAACUUUUAACAUUUUUUUCCCCAAGUACAAAUUUCUGUUAAAGUGCCCUUCAUUUUACUCUAUCUUUUGGUAUUAAAGAGAUUGUCUCUUCAUGAUGCAGGUUAAGCUUGUAAAGUGUCUGGUACAGAACAUUGUAGUAGAUAUCUCCUUCAAUCAGUUAGGAGGGCUUUGUACGUUAUGCUUUCUUGAGCAGGUUGAUCGCCUAAUUGGCAAAAACCAUCUUUUCAAAUGCAGUAUUAUACUGAUUAAGGCUUGGUGCUACUAUGAGAGCCGUAUUCUUGGUGCGCAUCAUGGCUUGAUAUCUACCUAUGCUUUGGAGACUUUGGUUCUAUAUAUAUUCCAUCUCUUCCAUUCAUCGUUAAAUGGUCCUUUGGCUGUUCUCUAUAAAUUUUUAGACUACUUCAGUAAAUUUGAUUGGGACAACUACUGCAUCAGUUUGAAUGGUCCAAUCCGAAUAUCUUCACUGCCAGAAGUUGUGGUUGAGGCACCUGAAAAUGGAGGAUUUGAUCUAUUGCUUAGUAAUGAUUUUCUCAAGGGAUGUGUGGAAAUGUUCUCAGUUCCUGCAAGAGCGUACGAGACAAACUCACGAACAUUUCCCCCAAAGCAUCUUAAUAUAGUUGAUCCAUUGAAAGAAAAUAACAACCUUGGUCGGAGCGUAAGCAAAGGAAACUUUUACCGAAUAAAGAGUGCUUUCACAUAUGGGGCUCGAAAGCUUGGUCGCAUCCUUUCUCAGCCAGAAGAAAGCAUAACCGAGGAACUUUCUAAAUUUUUUUCGAACACUUUAGAUAGACAUGGAAGUGGACAGAGACCUGAUGUUCAAGAUCCUGCAACUUCAGAUGGACAGCAUGGGUUUACUGGCAGACCGACAUUUCCAGGUGCAGAGUCAUAUGAAGACAAUCAUACAAUUUGUGAAUCAGAAUCUUCUGAUUCAAGUGGCAUAACUGGAGAAUGUAGAUUGAAUCAUGAGCAACCUUUGCAUCCGGGCAAUGUUAAGGUAUCAGGUAAGAAAACAAAUUUUAGUGGAACAAUUAAUGAAGUGCAAAAUUCUGCAAAUGGGCCUGCUGUUUCAGAAAAUCGUCUUUCUGGUGAUGCAAAAGACCUUGCUACUUCCAUACUGCAAAGUCUCUCAAUUGCAAAUGAUGCUAGUAAAUCUUCCGCUCCAAGUGCUGAAGAGAAUGAAUCUCCAAUGGGCAAAGCGCAUCAUGCACCCCAUCUCUAUUUUUCUUCCUCAGUCAUGGGAAAUGGGGAAAUGAGAAAUGGGAAUCCAGAAUGGAAACAUCAAGAAAGUUCUGGCUUUAUGGUGAAGAGAGUGCCUUCUGGGAUUAUGCUAGCUCCCACUGAGGAUAUGAUCCAUUCUGUCUGUAAUGACACAGAUGACAAGCAUUUGGUUACUAAACCUGAGGUUCUAUCCCCAGCGGGUUCAACAUAUCAUCCAUUACUCUUCAGUUCAGUGGCUUGGUCCUCUGAAGAUCUUUAUCCUAGCCAUUCCAACAAUCGUGCCUCUGCUAGUACUGCUGGAAAUCCUGAAGGCUUCAAGUCCUUGUCAGAUCUUAGUGGGGAUUAUGAGAGUCACCUAAACAGUUUGCAACAUGGUCGAUUGUGGUAUGAGUACGCAUUUACUACAUCCCUUCCUUCUGUGUCUCCACAGCUGCAUACUCAGUUCCAGAGCAAGAAUUCAUGGGAUGUAAUAAGACGGUCGGUGCAGUUUAGGCAGGAUGUGUUCUCCCAGAUGAAUGUCAAUGGUGUUGUCCCAAGACCAGUUUUCUACCCCAUUAACCCACCUAUGCUGCCUGGUGGAGCCUUUGGUAUGGAAGAAAUGCCAAAGCCACGAGGAACAGGGACAUAUUUUCCCAACACGAACCAUUACAGGGAUAGGACUUUGACAGCUAGGGGUAGGAGUCAAGCACCAGCAAGGUCUCCUCGAUCCAAUGGUCGCACUUCCCAGGAGAAAAAUUUGCCAGAAAGAAACUGCCGAGACCGUGAGCUGUCACAAGCACAGUUUCACAUCCACCUAAGUGGUGGGAAGUUCAGAUCUUCAGAUCUUUGCUACACUGGUUCUCCUGAAAACAAACAUUGUUCCAGUGUAAAUGGUUCAAUGCAUCUGUCAGAGAGCAUGGUAGAAUUUGGGUCAUUUGGGCAUCCACCACAUGGUGUCUCCGCAACAGAAGGUGGUAGGCAUCCAAACCCAGGUUCUGCACCAGCUCACAACUCUAGUGUGAGCCAAGCAAUACCAGGGAUGCAAGGGCCAAAACCUGUUUUGGCCAUGGAUCAAGAUAGGAUUGGGAUACAAUCAUACCAAUUGAAAGAUGAAGGUGAUUUUCCCCCUUUAUCUGACUCCAGCGGGAAGGGAUUGUCUAUCUGUAUGGUUAAGAAGCUUGAAAGAUCAGUGCAGUAAAUUCUAACAAACCAGCCUGUGCCAGGUUUUUUCUGCCACUAUGGCUCCUUGACAACCACCUUGAUGAUCUGUUCAUGUAGUCCUUUGUUUUGCUUAUGGUUUGAGUGCCUUUUGUACAUUCUACUAAUGAUUACUUAGCUAUCUUUGUUUCUGUAUAGGAUUUUUGAGUUAUGAUUUUGGCUCAUGUUUUGUUGUCACUGUCAUCCCUUGUAGGUAUAAGGUAUAGAUACAAAUAUAGUUGUUGCUCAUCUCUGAUGUAACUUAAAUUGGAAAAUAAUGUUAUUUUGCCGCUGUAAUGAGAGAACCAUUGCCAAAGGAUUUUUUUUUGGGGUGUUUAUGUAAUUUUAGGGGGGUUCAACUUCUUACAUUGGUUUGGUGUAUAUCAAGAAAUCUAAUGUCCAAAUACUUUGAUACUCCUCCAAAUGCAGUCUAGUGUUCCUCUGCAGUGCAGUGACGAUGUUCGUGAUGUCAGCUGUGGGUCACUUGAUUCUGUGCUGCAGCUGCUAGAUGACACUCAGCAUUCAGCAGGAUAAUCAUGAUAGAAUCUUGUGAUAAAAAUCUAUCUUGACAUUGAAUAGAAUUGCCACAGGAUAAAUUUUUGGUUGAUCCUUGUAUUGCUGUAGUGGAGGAAACUGUUUGGGGGACAGGAAGGACUCUGAUUACAUCCUGGAAAUUGGUUUGUUGGACACUGACAUUUUUUCUUAACCUUGUGUCUGUUUUAUGGCAAUUUGCCGCCAUCCAUCAGAGGUUAACCAAUUGAAGUUGACCUAAAAAUGAG
rnacentral:misc_RNA from 1 species